rnacentral:lncRNA from 1 species
UUUCACCAAGAUGGCCUGUGCCAGCGAGGGCUCACGGCCCCUUUGAGCUGUAGCUGUUUUCUGUUACUUUGCUCCCAUUUCUCAUCUUUUAAGUAGGUUCUACACAGCUUCCCACUUCCUGUGCCUCUGCCAGCUCCUUCUUAGAAACCUUGUCAGCCCUCUGGGCCACUUCUGCCUGGACACUGCUCUCCUUCCUUCUAGCCACUGCAGAUUUGUCCUUUUAAAAAGCCACAUUCUUUGGAUUCAACAUCAAAAUGCGCAGGCUGCCCCCUUAAAGUGGGUGGGUCAUUCUCUUCUUCCACUUGGGGCCUCCCUUCUUAGUCCAGCAUCACAUUUAGGGAGUGAGCACAUUAUCUGAGGGCAAUGCCAAUGCAUGCAUAAACCUGUAUCUUUGCAUUUUUAGAAAUUUUUACUUCCUAUGUAUGUUUUUGGUCUCUCUGUCCCUCUCUCCCCAUCCCGUGUGUAUUGGUUCAUGUGUGUGCAUGCGCAUAGGUAUGAAAGUCAGAUAGACACAGUCUCUUCAUUAAUUCCUUUCAGUCUCUAACUUGGCAGCGUCUCUUACUUGGCCCCAGAGUUUGAUAAUUUAACUAUCAAAGAUACCCACUUGGCUCUGAGGCUCUCCUGAGCCUCAGGCUCUGGGGCAGGUUAAGUGGCCACACCUCCCACGCGAUUGCCUGUCUACUGAGGUUCUGAAAGUUCGCCCUUCACUUGUACACCAAGUGUUUUCCCCACUGAGCCAUCUUCCCAGCCCCUCACUUUAUCAUUUAUAAACAGAAUUUUAUGUUUCUAGACCCUCGAAAGCAGUCAGCAGGCAAUUCCUCUCUCUAGAAUCCCUUUCUAGGAGGAAGGACACUGUCCCUUUGUUCCUGGAUGAAGUGCAGUCUCACUGCCAGCCUUUAUAAGGAAUGAUUUUCCCGGCCAGGGCCCCAGUUAGCCACUGUCAGUCCUUAAACAGCGGUGGGUAUUUGGGACAGUCAUAGGAGACUUUUGUCAUCCUAACCAUCCCACGAAGACAAAGAGACCAGUAACAACCACGUGACUUAACUCACUCUCCACUUAGCACUGAGGAAAUGAAGAAAUAGCACCACCCUAAAUCCAUUGUGACAACUUGAAGUUUCUCCUUAGUUUAGGAUCUAAUUUUCUUCUACACGUUUCCUCAGAGAAAGGAAUCCCUCAGGCCACGAUUCUGAGCGUGGAUGGCUGCUCUUUUGCUCUGUAAAUACAUUUAAAAAAAAAUGUACUGUAAUGUCAUUUUGAUGGCUUAAUUUCUGAAAGGAUUGGCUAAUUGCCUUUUUAGGAAUGUACUCAGACCAGUUUGAGCUGCCCUGAGUUACUUUUAAUAGCAUCUGUUGCUUACCUUUCCUUUGGUUUAUUUUUCCCUGUCUGUCACCUGCCUUCAGAAUUCUUUUGCUGAUUUGGAGACCUGACCUUGGUUUAAAUUAGUUUGACUAUAAUGUUCCUGCGGAAGCACAUGCCAUGUUUUAAUGGUUAAUUACCGCACCGUAUCAAAUUGUCAUGGAAAAACAGGUUGCGAAACUAAAGGAAAUGUGUUCCUCUUCUUGAGACAGAGAAAUCUCUUUAAAAGACCUCUAAUCCCAGUACUUGGGAGGCCGAAACGGGUGGGUCUCUGAAUUCAAGGUUAGCCUGGUCUAUAGAGUAAAUUCCAGGACAACCAAGGGAUACAUAGAGAAACAAAAACAAAAACAAACAGAAAACAACAACAGGGGAAUGUCUUUAAGCUAGAGGCCCCUCUCUGUGCAAAUAUAGAGCUGGUUCCCUAAGUAACAAGAAUAUAUUUUGGUACAUAAUAAAUACACACACACACACACACACACACACACACACACACACACACAUAUUUGAAUAGCGACAGAGAGAAACAAGAAGGGUCAAACAAAGGCUUUCGGGUGCUGUGCUGAUCCUUAAUUCAAAGACUGCUAACAAAAAAAGGAAAAGUGCUGUCCCAGCCACAUUAAGAACAAACACAGGCCAGUGGUGCCGCCUAGUGGUACCAAAAGGGAAGACAGGUUGUAGGCUGGAAAAGGUCUCAGUUUUCUUCUAUUCUCUUGAGAAGCUAACACCCAUUCUCAGGUGUGUACCCUGUCUCACCCUGUGCUUUAAAACCUUUUAUCACACUUUGCUUUAUAUUUACUUGUGUUCCGUUCAUACAUAUACAUCCCACAUCUAGAAGACAAAUAUAAUAAAAUAAAUCCGACAUGCCAUGAAUGUAACCACAAAUUUAUUGGAUUAGGGGUGCCUUUCAAUUGAUUUUCUCACUGGACUCCCAGACCAGACUUUGAAAUAAAUAAGUCCAUGGUGCCCCUUUUAUAAAGGAGCUCUGAAAGACUCUUGAUGUUAAGCACUGUGGCUGUCUUUUGCCCUGCAAGCUUUUAGCCUCAAGUUCCUUUUUGUGGCACCACCAUGACAUCUGUGUACAGCUUACUCACAAGUUCUCAUGCUGGGCACACUUCAUUUCUCUGGACUUUAAAUUGUUUUCUUUUGAUGCUAAAACUUGAAGUGAAACAGUUAUUUUGUGUCUACCUGUCUGUGGAGCUCAAAGAACUCUUACUUAACCCGCAGUGUAUCCACCUGUGGUUCAUCUCAGCCUACAGCCCAGUAAGUCACCGCUGCAUCCCUGGGGCAGUCGGGUUGAAGAGUAGGGCUGGAAUGCACAAGCAUACUUCAUUCAUACCUUUACUCACUUAUCAACACAUUUGUUCAUGAAACAUGAGUUGAGUAGCUGUGCCCGAAGUAUUGAUCCUGUUAUGCCCUGGUCUCUCUCCUAUUGUGCCUAUAGUCUAUAAGUGAUUGUUCAUUCCCAGUGGUGCCAAUCAUUAAAUACAAAUACCAGAGAAACACAGUCUGAUUUGGGAGAGGAACACACAGUGGGAAAAUGUGCCCAGAUUAAUUUGAAACAAAAACUACGAAAGGCAUAUAGAAGUUGGUAUGUAAAUGAGACUUUUUCUGCAGGGGACAGUGAAAACUAAAGGUCUUCCCAUACUCUAUAGAGAUCAGUGGUUCUCAACUUUCCUGACCCUUUGAUAUAGUUUCUCAUGGUGUGGUAACCCCCAACUGUAAAAUUAUUUUCAUUGCUGCUUCAUAACUACAAUUUGCUACUGUUAUGAAUUGUACUGUAAACAUCUUGAUAUGUCUCAGGCAACCUCUGUGAAAGGGUUGUUUGACCCACAGGACCCACAGGCUGAGAACUGCUGCUGCUGAUUUAGAUGAAGGAGAGCAUGUGUGACAGCUAGACAAAGAGAGCAUGGUAUGUGAUAUGGAGUUAGGAGCCUGGGAGAAAUGACUUUGUCCUCAUGCUUGGAUAUACUUUGGAUUUAAAUCUGAACAGACUGCAGUGUUGAUUCUUAACCUCC